rnacentral:rRNA from 1 species
UCGUCACACUAUCAUUAACUGAAUCCAUAGGUUAAUGAGGCGAACCGGGGGAACUGAAACAUCUAAGUACCCCGAGGAAAAGAAAUCAACCGAGAUUCCCCCAGUAGCGGCGAGCGAACGGGGAGGAGCCCAGAGCCUGAAUCAGCAUGUGUGUUAGUGGAAGCGUCUGGAAAGGCGCGCGAUACAGGGUGACAGCCCCGUACACAAAAGCGCAUGUGCUGUGAGCUCGAUGAGUAGGGCGGGACACGUGGUAUCCUGUCUGAAUAUGGGGGGACCAUCCUCCAAGGCUAAAUACUCCUGACUGACCGAUAGUGAACCAGUACCGUGAGGGAAAGGCGAAAAGAACCCCGGCGAGGGGAGUGAAAAAGAACCUGAAACCGUGUACGUACAAGCAGUGGGAGCCCCACCACCAAAGCAUUUGCUGUACCGCGUUGACGGAGCGAAGCGACGUCAAACCGAUAAAACAGCAGUGUAAAGUGAGCCGCAGGGCGCUUUGCGCGACAGCGCAAAGGCAGGCGGUUUCGCGUAGCGAAAGCGAAUGCUUUGGGGUGGGGUGACUGCGUACCUUUUGUAUAAUGGGUCAGCGACUUAUAUUCUGUAGCAAGGUUAACCGAAUAGGGGAGCCGGAGGGAAACCGAGUCUUAAUUGGGCGUUAAGUUGCAGGGUAUAGACCCGAAACCCGGUGAUCUAGCCAUGGGCAGGUUGAAGGUUGGGUAACACUAACUGGAGGACCGAACCGACUAAUGUUGAAAAAUUAGCGGAUGACCUGUGGCUGGGGGUGAAAGGCCAAUCAAACCGGGAGAUAGCUGGUUCUCCCCGAAAGCUAUUUAGGUAGCGCCUCGUGAAUUCAUCUCCGGGGGUAGAGCACUGUUUCGGCUAGGGGGCCAUCCCGGCUUACCAACCCGAUGCAAACUGCGAAUACCGGAGAAUGUUAUCACGGGAGACACACGGCGGGUGCUAACGUCCGUCGUGAAGAGGGAAACAACCCAGACCGCCAGCUAAGGUCCCAAAGUCAUGGUUAAGUGGGAAACGAUGUGGGAAGGCCCAGACAGCCAGGAUGUUGGCUUAGAAGCAGCCAUCAUUUAAAGAAAGCGUAAUAGCUCACUGGUCGAGUCGGCCUGCGCGGAAGAUGUAACGGGGCUAAACCAUGCACCGAAGCUGCGGCAGCGACACUGUGUGUUGUUGGGUAGGGGAGCGUUCUGUAAGCCUGUGAAGGUGUGUCGUGAGGCAUGCUGGAGGUAUCAGAAGUGCGAAUGCUGACAUAAGUAACGAUAAAGCGGGUGAAAAGCCCGCUCGCCGGAAGACCAAGGGUUCCUGUCCAACGUUAAUCGGGGCAGGGUGAGUCGACCCCUAAGGCGAGGCCGAAAGGCGUAGUCGAUGGGAAACGGGUUAAUAUUCCCGUACUUGGUGUUACUGCGAAGGGGGGACGGAGAAGGCUAUGUUGGCCGGGCGACGGUUGUCCCGGUUUAAGCGUGUAGGUGUGUGUUCCAGGUAAAUCCGGUUCACUUUAACACUGAGGCGUGACGACGAGGCACUACGGUGCUGAAGCAACAAAUGCCCUGCUUCCAGGAAAAGCCUCUAAGCAUCAGGUAACAUCAAAUCGUACCCCAAACCGACACAGGUGGUCAGGUAGAGAAUACCAAGGCGCUUGAGAGAACUCGGGUGAAGGAACUAGGCAAAAUGGUGCCGUAACUUCGGGAGAAGGCACGCUGACACGUAGGUGAAGUGAUUUACUCAUGGAGCUGAAGUCAGUCGAAGAUACCAGCUGGCUGCAACUGUUUAUUAAAAACACAGCACUGUGCAAACACGAAAGUGGACGUAUACGGUGUGACGCCUGCCCGGUGCCGGAAGGUUAAUUGAUGGGGUCAGCGCAAGCGAAGCUCCUGAUCGAAGCCCCGGUAAACGGCGGCCGUAACUAUAACGGUCCUAAGGUAGCGAAAUUCCUUGUCGGGUAAGUUCCGACCUGCACGAAUGGCGUAAUGAUGGCCAGGCUGUCUCCACCCGAGACUCAGUGAAAUUGAACUCGCUGUGAAGAUGCAGUGUACCCGCGGCAAGACGGAAAGACCCCGUGAACCUUUACUAUAGCUUGACACUGAACAUUGAGCCUUGAUGUGUAGGAUAGGUGGGAGGCUUUGAAGUGUGGACGCCAGUCUGCAUGGAGCCGACCUUGAAAUACCACCCUUUAAUGUUUGAUGUUCUAACGUGGACCCGUUACCCGGGUUGCGGACAGUGUCUGGUGGGUAGUUUGACUGGGGCGGUCUCCUCC